GUGCCAGCAGCCGCGGUAAUACCAGCAGCCCAAGUGAUGGCCGAUCUUAUUGGGCCUAAAGCGUCCGUAGCUGGCCGCGCAAGUCCAUCGGAAAAUCCACCCGCCCAACGGGUGGGCGUCCGGUGGAAACUGUGUGGCUUGGGACCGGAAGGCGCGACGGGUACGUCCGGGGUAGGAGUGAAAUCCCGUAAUCCCGCACGGACCACCGAUGGCGAAAGCACUUCGAGAAAACGGAUCCGACAGUGAGGGACGAAAGCCAGGGUCUCCAACCGGAUUAGAAACCCCAGUAGUCC
rnacentral:rRNA from 1 species